rnacentral:rRNA from 1 species
GACGAACGCUGGCGGCGUGCUUAACACAUGCAAGUCGAACGGAAAGGCCCUGCUUUUGUGGGGUGCUCGAGUGGCGAACGGGUGAGUAACACGUGAGUAACCUGCCCUUGACUUUGGGAUAACUUCAGGAAACUGGGGCUAAUACCGGAUAGGAGCUCCUGCUGCAUGGUGGGGGUUGGAAAGUUUCGGCGGUUGGGGAUGGACUCGCGGCUUAUCAGCUUGUUGGUGGGGUAGUGGCUUACCAAGGCUUUGACGGGUAGCCGGCCUGAGAGGGUGACCGGCCACAUUGGGACUGAGAUACGGCCCAGACGCCUACGGGAGGCAGCAGUGGGGAAUAUUGCACAAUGGGCGGAAGCCUGAUGCAGCAACGCCGCGUGCGGGAUGACGGCCUUCGGGUUGUAAACCGCUUUCGCCUGUGACGAAGCGCGAGUGACGGUAAUGGGUAAAGAAGCACCGGCUAACUACGUG